GGCUAUGUAGCUCAGUUGGUUAGAGCAUCGCACUCAUAAUGCGGGGGUCACAGGUUCAAAUCCCGUCAUAGCCACCA
rnacentral:tRNA from 11 species